ensembl:lincRNA
GCUCAUCAAGUGAGAUAUAAAGGACAGCCAACAUAAACAUCAUUUAUUGAAUGAGGCAGCAAAGGCCCAGCUGUGAGAUACAGUAAGUUCAAGAUGUCAGAGGCCAGGCCGCCUCCCCUUCUCGGGCAGCACACGACGCACAUCCUGAAGGAGGUCCUCCGAUACGAUGACAGGGCCAUCAGGGAGCUGCUCAGCACUGGAGUGGUGACCCAACAUGAGGUUGAGUGACAAAGGAAAAAUGCUUUUCUGCAAAGCCACAUCUGAAUACAUUUUGCUAGCGAAGACAAAACAGCCUUUCUGGACACUUCUCCCCAAAUCUGGUGCCUGCCACUGAAGAGUUAGAGGAAUUCCAGAUUUCCUGCCUGGCGUCUCCAGAAUGGCUUUGGAAACGCUCUCCAGGUCCCGGACCGAAAGGCACUGAGAAAGAACAUCACCAGAACUGAACAGACUGGUCAGAUCGUCUGCAUCUGCUCUGAUGGCUCAUACGGCAAAGGAGACAGAACCUGUGAUGGCCACCAUCAGUGCCUCCCUCCCAUUAUGCACGUCUCUCUUUCCAUCAAGAAAUGCACUUUGUUUUCCUCCCCCUGGAACCUGGACUGGUCUGACAUCUGACCGGUAUCCAUUGAGGAAUCCUGUGAUAUUUCAUGCCUACUAUCUUCAGAGAGAGAGAGAGGAGCCACUUGGAGAAGCACAAAAACAUUAGACGUGAGUGAAUCUUCCUGAAUCUCUAACCCACCCCUACAACCUUGUGAGUAUGACUAAGUGACACCAGCGGAGCAGAAUGACCCAGCUGAGACUUACCCCUAUUUCUUACCCACAUAAACUAAGAUUGUUUUAUUCCACUGUUGUGAGGUGGUUCAUUAUCAGCAAAGGUCUAACUUAGAAAAGAAGCUCAAUAUUAAACAUAGUUUGAUAAAGAGCUCACAGCAUCUUGGCUGACUGAAAUAGUGAAUGAUAUGUGCUGUGGCUUAUUAAUUAUUUUUUCCUAUUGAAAAAUGCCAGUCAAAAAUCUGCUUUUGUUGAAAAUUCUUCUAUAAUGACCUGGCCUCCUAUUGUCAUCUAAGAAAUGGAACAGGUUCCACUGGACAACGUAGUGCCCAGGAACAUCACUGACCAGAUGUGAAUUCCUUCCCACAAAUUAUCAUGUUCUCAAUCUGGAAAGAGAUUAAAUUCAGGAAAGGUUUGAGCUAUUGAGGGGUUUCCAGGGUAGGCAGCCUCUAAACUGGCACCCCAGUGAGCCUCACCCCUGCCUCACACCGUUUUAGUCUUCCUUCCCAAAAUUGGUCUGUGGACACAGCAGCAUAGCACAGAGUGGCUGGUGCACCACUUCCCACAUUAGGUCAUAAAAAAACUAAAGAGUCUCUUUUCUCUGUUUCUAUCUCUCUGCCACUCACUCUGGGGAAAGCCAAUUGCCAUAGAAUGAGACAUUGCUACAUAGGAGCCCAUGUGACCAAGAACUAAAGCUCUGGCCAACAACCAAUGAGGAUGGGAAUCCAAGAAUCGCAGAAGUGACUUUGGAAGCAGAUUCUCCAGCCUCAGGACUGCCUGGCAAUGACUGUAGCCCUAGCCAACAGCUUACUGACCUCUCAGAACUGUGCAGCUUACCCAGACUCCUGACCCUCAGAAACUGUGUGAAAUAAUACAUAUUUGAUAUUUUAGCUUUAUGUUUAAUGGAUUAAGUUAGCUUUAUUUUGAAGCAAUUUAUGACACAGCAAUAGAUCACAAAUAUAUUUCCCCAUUAGAUUAUGGCAAAAAGUCAUUUUCAAUAGGUGACUUUCAAUUUCAAACUCAACGUUAUGAUUUUCAUCAGUCAUGCCCACUGUUAAGUGUGAUGCAGCCCUGAGUGGAGGCAUUAUGAAGAGAAAGGAAUGAAGUUGCUUGCUGCGUGUUGGCCUCUGUGCAGGAGUCUAGGGUGGAAAUGAUGGCAGUGAUGUCAGGGUUGGUGGGUGGGAGCCUGUGGAACAAAAAUACUGGUAAAAAACUGCUGAAAGAUCUCCUCAGAGUAAUCUCUGCAUUCACAGGAUGUUCUAGACCCAGUGAUUCUCAAAAAUGGGAGCAGUCUUUCCCCCAAGGGAUAUUUGGCAACAUCCAGAGACAUAUUAGCAAAGGUUAAUAGAGUUUUGCUAAGAGAAUCACUGGUCAUAAUAAACACCCUCUUCCAACAACACAAGAGAAGACCCUACACGUGGACAUCACCAGAUGGUCAACACUGAAAUCAGAUUGAUUAUAUUUCUUGCAGCCAAAGAUGGAAAAGCUCUAUACAGUCAGAAAAAACAAGCCAGGGUACUGAUUGUUGCUCAGAUCAUGAAUUCCUUAUUGCCAAAUUCAGACUUAAAUUGAAGAAAGUGCAGGAAACCACUAGACCAUUCAGGUAUGACCUAAAUCAAAU